CUUGGGUUACUACUUCUAUAUCGUGACCAGAAAUUUUACUGAAAUGUUCACUGUGCAGAUUGACGUAGAUAUUGGAUCAUCAUCUGUAGCAAGGAGAGUUAUGGGUCUUGUACUUGGAUAUGUUACAAGUCUAAUCGUUGAUCUUGCCAUUUUGAUAGAGGCAAAAGAGGAAGAAGAGUUGCCUGAGUAUAUUCUUGGGACCGUACGGCUAAACCGUUUAAGGAUUGACUCUGCUGUAUCAUUAGAGGCUUGAAGUUUUUAUCUAUAGCUCUUCAUCUAUCAACAUUUUUAAUCAUUUUGUCCUCUGCAGUGAACCUAUUCUUGUAAGUGAACUCCAAUUUUUUCCAUUGUUGUCUAUGGCAGUGCAGAUCAUCAGAGUUCAUGUAACAACUCAAUCUGUAAUUUAUUGUGAUGUGCCAAUAAGCACAUUUCCUAUAUCUGAAUCUUCAUUUUUAUGCUAACAUGCCUCAUACGCAGUUUUACUUACGAGAUUGCUUUUGAAUUUAUGUUUGGUCUGCAACUGCAGUGCUUGUCAUGAUUGAAUGAGUAAGACAUGAUUCCAGCAUUGAUCUGGUAUCUCUUGAAUGUAUCAUGGAAACCCAGAUCGUGUGAACAAUAAAGCAGGGAUAUUACACCGAGGUGGAAAGAAGGAAAUGAUGGUUAUUUUGAAUGUAUCAUGGAAACCUAGAUUGUGUGAAACAAUAAAGUAAGGAAAUUACCCUGAGGUGGAAGGAAGGAAAUUAUGGUUAUUUUAGAUUAGUUUAAUGUGCCAGUGAUGGCGUAAUUUAUAAGUAUGUGCUGACCCUACUGAAUAGUUUGUGAAGGUUCCAGGUAAUUAGAUUAACUUGAAUUAUUAUUCAGCUUGUGCAUCGUCUCAUUGGUAGAUCUUCUUGCUAGUUCAAAAAUGUUGUUAGUCUAGUUCUACUGUCGCUAGUAUAAGUUUGGCGUGGAAUUGCCUCCUGAGGUGACGAUUAAAUUGUUUUGCCUAAGUUUAUGCUUCAUCGACACCGACUGGUUCUGCUCUCUUCAGUUCUGCUGCUCAGAUAGAGACGCCAUGGCCCGGAGACAUGGUAGCAUUUGCCCCCUUUUCUGGGAGGCUAGCGAGUAAGUCUUAACUUGCAAAAAGUUUAGAAAAUAACAUCUUUUCGGCCGUUUUGCUUUCAAUUAAAACGACGGAUGGCGGUAAGUUAAUCUUUUUUCAUGAAUGCGUUUCAAUUUAUUGAUCAAGUUUAGCAUUCGAUUCUCGAUUUUACUGUACGAUG